AAGACUCUAUCUUCUUUUCUUUAUUGUUUUUCUCGUUCUUUCCUUUAUCGCUUCUUUUCUUUAUUGUUUUUCUCGUUCUUUCCUUUAUCACUUUUUCUUUUUUUAGAUAGUUUAUUUCAUUUUAUUUCCCUUUUAGUUGUUUAUUUUGCUUUUUAGUAUAAUACAUGAGUCUGACGAGUCACCAAAUAUAGUAGAUCUUUAGUACAAUCCUACCUUCCCAUACCUUUAGCCCCACCGAAACAUCAGUAUUAUUUUAGCACCAUAGACUUCGUAAAUAUAGGAACCACUCCCGAAAACCCAUAUACCAUGGCCUUAAUCAUCAUUUC
rnacentral:lncRNA from 1 species